UAUUGCAAAUGAAUGCAUUUAAAUUAUUGAAUCUAAAUAGUAUGGUGUGAUUUGUUAAACCACCUGUAACUCAACAAAGUCGCAUGGCAACUGGUUUGGCUUAGUUAGCCAAUCAGAAAUUAGACCCGCCUCUUUUUAGCGUCAGCAGAUAGCAGUUACAGAGAUUCGUCCUUUUCGGGACGAGCCACAGAUGAGAUUCGACGAUAGACUACUGUUUUUUAAUAGUAACCUAAAGAAGAGAGAUUCCCCCGCCACUAAAAGUCCCCAAAAUCCUGUGCAGUAACUCGAAAACCUUGGCCAGGUUUUUUUUGGUUGUGGAUUGAGAUUGGAUCCUGGAUCGUCUGCAUCCUGCUCGCCCUCCCUGGAGGUCUGCAGCGGUGUACAGACUGGCGAGCUAACCCCCAUCCGAGCGAUCCUUGUGAACCCUGAACGGAAGGAGCAGGUGUUGUAGUUUCUGCAGUGUGAUUCAGGGAUGUUUUUUUUUAUUUGGUCAGAGGUGUUUUAAAUCCUGUUGUUUUGUGUCUUUUUGUUGUCCUUUUUGUUUUGUAAGGUUGGACUCUUUUCCACGGUCUUUUUCUUUAUUUUUCCGGAAUAAUUAGAGGUUUCCUCGUUGCAAACAAUAAACCAAAUAUAGAUAUAUAUAUUUGAAAUAUA